GCUUGAAAGACCUCAGCUUGGCUCCUCCAAUCACAGGUUGGGAAUCAUCACAGGACUUGGUCUGCAUUUGCUGACCAAAGGGAAGGUGAGCCUGCAAGGACUGCACUGGUAUCACUGCUGGGUAGCACGGUGUGACCACUGAGCCUGGACAAGAAGCUGGUCUGUAUGCACAGGCAGUCAGACUCACAAAAGUGGUCUUUUUUUCCUUCAAGGAAUGCAGAAGUGCUGAUGGUUCUCAUCUACAGCACCCAUCCCAAAGCUUCCACCAGCGGUGCUCACCUCGGGUUGUGCCUCCUGUUCCAUCGCCCAGACAGCGGAGGUGGCACAAUGCAGCCAUCAGAAAAUCAGCAGAAAUGAGCUGAUGCCGAUUUGAGACCACUGGACACACCUAAAUUUAUCUGUAGUUGAUGUUGCAAACCAAAACCAAAGCCCUGACAUCUUCACAGCAGUCUGACGAUGAGGUAAUGGGAUAAACAUCCACUGUGGAUCUCACGUGCUGCAACUCAGUGAGAUGUUGCUUUUGACACAAGAACGUAGGUUGGAAGGCAUCUCAGUCUGAAGCAGCACCAGCACCAACGGCAGCUCAGAUGUGUUUUUCUAGUCUAGUCCUGGAACCUUCCAAGAAGAGAUGUUCUGGAGCCUCUCUAGUUCAUCCUUUCCAGUACCACAGUGCCCUCCUUCUCUAAAAGUGAUGCUUUUAUGUUUUCUGUAUGUUGGCAAUAUAUAUAGAACUGAUACAGCGCAGGCAUCUCUGUACAACCAUAGCUAAGCAGUCAGACUGCAUGUGUGGGCAAGACACCUGCAACAACCUGGAGAGGACAGCAAUUCAGAAGUUCUACAGACUGGAAAUAAAUAAAACAAAUCCUAAAUUACUACACAUUCUCAGCAUACAGGUAAAGCAAAAAGCAAUUAAAAACUGUGUGGCUGGUAGACAAGAAAGGGAUGAGCGG
ensembl:lncRNA